rnacentral:lncRNA from 1 species
GCAACUUAGUUAGCUUGUUUCUUGGCAUUUACUUAGUUUAAUUCUAGUUAUUUUAGUACUUUAAGCUAUUUUCAUGUGUUUGUAGGUUCAAAUAACAAAGUUAGCAACAAAGUGCUAUUUGGAGCAUUUUGGAGCAUUUUUGGGCCAAGAUUGGAUAGUGCAGGCAUGGAGAUAUAAGGAUAGACGUUUUUGAAGAUUUGAAGGCUAGAAAUCAGCAUGUAUGUGUGCAAGUGUGUUGACCUACAACUACAAACAUCCAUCCACUACACCUAUUACAUCCACCCUUCACCAUAACAAGGGAGAAAAAAUCCAUCCAAAACACACACACAUCAUCUACACAAUUCUCCACUCUUUGCCACAUUCAAUACAACCUUCAUCCAAACACAUCCAUUCAUCUUCACAUCCAUUCCUCCAUACAAACAAACCUUCAAACACUUACCAACACCUUGUGCCGUAGCAAAGGAAGGGAAGGAAAGUGCUUGGACGUGCUUGCUGUCUAACUUGGAUCGUUGAAGCGUUUAGGUGUUUUCUUUCUUUUGUUUCCAAUGUUUAAAUUCAUUUUCUUUUGUUUUGUUGUCAGUUAUGAACUCUUGAAUCGUGAAUGCAGUUGACUUAACUAUUUGAUUGAUAACUUAUUUGUAUUUGUUAAUUAAGGGUCGACACUUAGUUGGCAUGCAUAAAUCCGUUGCUAGAAUAUAAGGAAGUUUCACAUAAUUGUUACAAACUUAUAUUCACAUGUAGUGAAGGUCGCUUAUAAACGAUCGCGCUAAGUUCAAUUCCUAGCAUGAGUGACAUGAUGUCAUAGUUACAAGUGCUUUGUCAAUGCUUAUGAUUUUCAUUAAACGUAAUGAUCUUUUAUUGUAUCUUUAUUAUGAUGUCAUGUAGGGAACUUUAGAAGAAUGUUUUGGGUUGUCGAAUGAUGUCAUCUAAUCCAAUAAAACAAGGAAAAUCUGAGAGUUAACUAGUGAUGUCACGGUUAAUUUGGAGCAUUG